rnacentral:rRNA from 1 species
CGGGACGGGUGAGUAACGCGUGGGUAACCUACCCUGUACACACAGAUAACAUACCGAAAGGUAUGCUAAUACGGGAUAAUAUAUUUGAGAGGCAUCUCUUGAAUAUCAAAGGUGAGCCAGUACAGGAUGGACCCGCGACUGAUUAGCUAGUUGGUAAGGUAACGGCUUACCAAGGCGACGAUCAGUAGCCGACCUGAGAGGGUGAUCGGCCACAUUGGAACUGAGACACGGUCCAA